rnacentral:rRNA from 1 species
UAAUCCGACCUAGGGUCAUCUGAUAGCGCAAGGCCCGAAGGCCCCCUGCUUUCUCCCGUAGGACGUAUGCGGUAUUAGCGUUCCUUUCGAAACGUUGUCCCCCACUACCAGGCAGAUUCCUAGGCAUUACUCACCCGUCCGCCGCUGAAUUCAGGAGCAAGCUCCUGUCAUCCGCUCGACUUGCAUGUGUUAGGCCUGCCGCCAGCGUUCAAUCUGAGCCAGGAUCAAACUCU